AAAGAACAGCUGCUCCAUAGUAUGUUGCAUUGGAUGCAAGUGUGUACUUGCCAUGCUGUAACAUCUCAGGUUCUUUGCAGUCCACAACUAUGUAAAACAAAGAUUUUCAGAAGUUAAAAAAGGCACUGCGGCUGGUUGUCACUCCACUGCCCAUCAUCUUGGCAUGUCCGUCUCUCCCUCCCGAUGAGGGUGUAGUUCUCGUGGCAUGUGAACUCUGCUGAAGCACCGUGUGUGGUUCUCUUGUCCUUCAGGUUUACAUAUCCAUGUUCCAGACCAGGUGCGGUUUUCCCCACCGACCAACAUGUGACCCUCGGGGCACCGGUAGCUGAUUGUGGCGCCAACACUGAAGUUGGAACCCGAGAUGGUGGUGUUGACUAGCUUGUCGGGACUGCCGCAUGAAGUUGGGGCUGCGAACACAAACAGUUGUAAAGGCGAGUAAGGCCAUCCAAAAAGGGCGGACGUUACACUGUCGUCAAAAUGUGUAAAUGUGUGCGUAAAGCGUGUAGCGUAACCUCCAGGUAUUAUGCUGUUGUUCUUGGACACAAAAACAACUUUGCCGUUUACUCACAUGUAAGUAUAAUUUGGAGAUAAUGUCACAUCGCCUUAAGUUCUAUCGUUUGCGUUUCAGAAAUGGAAGUACAACUAAUUCCAAUUAGUAAAGAAACUUAUCGCCUUUAUGAAAUCCGAAUGUUCAUUACACAAGACACUACUACUUUUUAA